CUCGCUUCUCUGCCUUUUGGCUAAGAUCAAGUGUAGUAUCUUUAGUAACUUCCACCUCUGUAAAAUCUUAGAAUCUAUAAAUUCAACUACUGUUUGUAUAUACCUGAAUAAGAUCUCCUCUUGGAUAUCUGUAAGAGACACUGUACAAGUUUAGAUAUUUUAGUCUUUCAAAAUAACUUAAAUGUUCACAUCUAU